rnacentral:rRNA from 1 species
GGGUGAGAUCAUACCAAUGUCAAUACAUAGGCAAUUCCCAUCAAAACUUAGGAGUUAAGCACGUUUGAAUUAAAAUAGUACUAGGAUUGGUGAUCUCCAAGGAAUUCUUUUUGUUGCCCCCU